AAGUAAAAGUCGUAACAAGGUUUCCGUAGGUGAACCUGCGGAAGGAUCAUUAUUGAAAGAAACCCUCAGGCAAAGUGGAGGUGGUUGUAGCUGGCCCCUAGGGGCAUGUGCACACUGCCUCUGUUGCUUGUUUCUUCAUUCUCUCCACUUGUGCACUGCUUGUAGGCAGCCUGGCACUGUUCAGGUUGUUUAUGAUUUUAUUUACAUACAUGAAAUAAUUGUUGUACAGAAUGUGAUAAAACAAGUAAUACAACUUUCAACAACGGAUCUCUUGGCUCUCGCAUCGAUGAAGAACGCAGCGAAAUGCGAUAAGUAAUGUGAAUUGCAGAAUUCAGUGAAUCAUCGAAUCUUUGAACGCAUCUUGCGCUCCUUGGUAUUCCGAGGAGCAUGCCUGUUUGAGUGUCAUUAAAUUCUGUCAAAACAUGCACUCAAGUGUGUUUUGGAUUGUGGGAGUGUCUGCUGGCUUUUAUAUUUGAGCCAGCUCUCCUGAAAGACAUUAGCUUUGGGGGGGAUGUGCCAAGUCACUUCUGCCUUUCCAUUGGUGUGAUACUAUCUACACCAGGAAAGCAGGUUGCAGGUGAUGCACUGUGCUCUCUGCUCUCUAAUUGAGAUUUGUCUGAUAACUUGACCUCAAAUCAGGU
rnacentral:rRNA from 1 species